GUCCCUUCAGGGACAUCCGAUAAAAUUGGAACGAUAUAGAGAAGAUUAGCAUGUCCCCUGGGCAAGGAUGACACGCACAAAUCGAGAAACUGGACAAAAGAGU